CGGAAUAACUCGGAGAAAUCCGUGCUAAUACCGCAUAAUGUCUUCGGACCAAAGAUUUAUCGCCUGGGAUGAGCCCGCGUAGGAUUAGCUAGUUGUGGGGUAAAAGGGCCUACCAAGGCGACGAUCCUUAGCUGGUCUGAGAGGAUGAUCAGCCACACUGGGACUGAGACACGGCCCAGACUCCUACGGGAGGCAGCAGUGGGGAAUAUUGGACAAUGGGCGAAAGCCUGAUCCAGCAAUGCCGCGUGAGUGAUGAAGGCCCUAGGGUUGUAAAGCUCUUUUACCCGGGAUGAUAAUGACAGUACCGGGAGAAUAAGCUCCGGCUAACUCCGUG
rnacentral:rRNA from 1 species